rnacentral:lncRNA from 1 species
GGUUAACCUUUUAGGUAAGGAGGUGGUCCAACAUACUUAUUGGGCUCGUCUACACAGGUGUGUGCGCUGCUAAGGUGAUGAAUAGAUGUGGGAUGGAUCGUACAAUUCCGCUACAAGUGGUAUCAAAGCCCAUGGUUCGGUGGGAGUCCAAGUAUCAACUUCAAGGUGCGAGGGGGUGCGCGAGAGGUACAAUUCGUAGGCCUCGUGGGUGGAGUAAAUAGAGUUGAAUCAGGUGGAGCACGGGAGCACAUGAUGAUUUGAGUCGGGUGGAGCGGGCUUAGGAAGGCUCUAGGGAAAUUGGUGAGACACCCAGAACGUGGUGGAGUAAUAUUAGAGUCAAGCAAGGCUCUUGAAGGACUCAAAAAGUAUUUGAAUCGGGUGGAGCAUGGCUCGGGAUGGCUCUAGGAAAAACAGCUGGGAGUAGUAUUAGAGUCGAGCAGAGAGCUCUUGAAGGAUUCAAAGAAGGUGGAGAUUGUUGGGAUUUCACAUGAAUCCCACAUCGGUUAAAUUCAAGAGUGUAGAUGGCUUAAUAAGUAUGGUAGAACAUCAACCUAAUA